rnacentral:rRNA from 1 species
CCUACGGGAGGCAGCAGUGGGGAAUAUUGGACAAUGGGCGAAAGCCUGACCCAGCCAUGCCGCGUGUGUGAAGAAGGCCUUCGGGUUGUAAAGCACUUUCAGUGGGGAAGAAAGCCUUGGGGCUAAUACCCUCGAGGAAGGACAUCACCCACAGAAGAAGCACCGGCUAACUCCGUGCCAGCAGCCGCGGUAAUACGGAGGGUGCGAGCGUUAAUCGGAAUUACUGGGCGUAAAGCGCGCGUAGGCGGUCUGAUAAGCCGGUUGUGAAAGCCCCGGGCUCAACCUGGGAACGGCAUCCGGAACUGUCAGGCUAGAGUGCAGGAGAGGAAGGUAGAAUUCCCGGUGUAGCGGUGAAAUGCGUAGAGAUCGGGAGGAAUACCAGUGGCGAAGGCGGCCUUCUGGACUGACACUGACGCUGAGGUGCGAAAGCGUGGGUAGCAAACAGGAUUAGAUACCCGGGUAGUC